rnacentral:rRNA from 1 species
AUACGUAGGGGGCGAGCGUUGUCCGGAAUGACUGGGCGUAAAGGGCGCGUAGGUGGCCUUACAAGUCUGGAGUGAAAGUCCCGUUUUUAAGGUGGGAAUGGCUUUGGAAACUGUAAGGCUUGAGUGUGGGAGAGGAUAGCGGAAUUCCCGGUGUAGCGGUGAAAUGCGUAGAGAUCGGGAGGAACACCAGUGGCGAAGGCGACUACCUGGACCGAUACUGACACUGAGGAGCGAAAGCGUGGGGAGC